rnacentral:rRNA from 1 species
UACGUAGGGUGCGAGCGUUAAUCGGAAUUACUGGGCGUAAAGCGUGCGCAGGCGGUUCGUUGUGUCGGUGGUGAAAUCCCCGGGCUCAACCUGGGAACUGCCUUUGUGACUGCAAGGCUUGAGUGCGGCAGAGGGGGAUGGAAUUCCGCGUGUAGCAGUGAAAUGCGUAGAUAUGCGGAGGAACACCGAUGGCGAAGGCAAUCCCCUGGGCCUGCACUGACGCUCAUGCACGAAAGCGUGGGGAGCAAACAGG